ensembl:lncRNA
UCUGAUCUGAGCAGUGACACAAAACAAUCUGUGAAUAGAAACACUUUGAUAUUAUCUCCCAGUGUAAAGGUUCACACAUCAAUAUUUCUCUAGUGUAACAAGAGCUGAUGUUUUCAGGUACGAGCCUCAGGAGGAGAGGAGGAGCAUAUUUGACUUGUAUCUGUCCCUGUAUGAAGACUCUGAGUCUGGACAAAGAACUGGCACAAAUAUCAGCAACCAGUCAAAUGGACACCCUCCAAACUUUUCUAAACCGCUAGACGAGUCUGAGGAUGAGAGCAGGAGGUGGACCGUAGUACACGUCUGUGCAGCGUCUGUACUGGGAAGUGGCCUGGUCAAACGCGUUUCCAAGUCAGAAGGAAUCUGGGGGAGUCUGUGGAAACUUUUGAACCACCUAAGAUGAGGCUGCAGUCGGUUUGGAUCAUAAUGAAGAGUUCAGUCCAGAGACUCAAGUGUUUAUGCCUCAGUGACUUAAUCCAGCACCAGAGGGUUUUUAAUCUUAUGUGAUUUUAACGAGGAAGAUCAGGUUUUCAAAAUGACAAACUGGGACACACCCAGGAUGGGAUGAUUAUAAAUAAAGUAAAAAUAAAAUUGUUUAAAAUAAAUAAAGUGUCCAUUCUUAACUUAUUUGUGAGUCAGUUUAAUGUGACAGACUUCAGUUUAGUGAAAUGUCUAGAACCAGGAAGAACGAGCACAUUCC